UACGUAGGGGGCAAGCGUUGUCCGGAUUUAUUGGGCGUAAAGAGCGUGUAGGCGGCCUGACAGGUCAGUUGUGAAAACUCGAGGCUCAACCUCGAGACGUCGGUUGAAACCAUCUGGCUAGAGUCCGGAAGAGGAGUGUGGAAUUCCCGGUGUAGCGGUGAAAUGCGCAGAUAUCGGGAAGAACACCCGUGGCGAAGGCGGCACUCUGGGACGGUACUGACGCUGAGACGCGAAAGCGUGGGGAGCGAACAGG
rnacentral:rRNA from 1 species